UGAGCAUCACCCCCCAGAGUCGGACUCAACUAGAUUUAAUGUCAAGGGGAAACCUUUACCUUUACUUAUUAUGGGAUCUGCUCUGUGAAAUUUGUGGGUCUUCAAACUACAGGAACUUUUAUGAUGAACAGGGAGUCAGCGUGGUUGCCCAUUUUACCAGGGAUGUUCCACUUUCCCAAAAUACCUCAUUCUCAGCUGUGGUGGCUGACAGCAAAGGUUCGUGGGCAGGGAUGCUUUGUGCAUAUUGUGUUUGCUUCGUCAAGUGCCACUGAUGCUAAUGGCACUAAAUGAACAACAAGAAAAAUAAUUAUAUACUCUGAUCCUUGCCUCGAGGGAAAUGUACCAAAGUUGAUGGUGGGGUAGCUGGGGAGGAAGGGAGAGUUGGCAGAGAGAGGUUAAGUGAGUAUGAACAUGUGGAAAUAUUGUUACAUGUACUUUGCCUUCCUUGUAAUUGGGAUUGUGGAGCUCAGCCCAAAGGCUUAAUGGGAGAGUUUGAAGGAAGAGUGUUGGCAGCAGGUGUUCUGGGAGGCAGUUCCAGAUACAAAGGACCUCAAGGUGUUUUGGAGUGCAGGUAAUGUUUUGGCAAAUGGGAGUGGUGAAAGAAGAGCAAAGGCCACAGGCAGGGAUCAGGUUGGAAAGAAUUUGCUUCCUAAGUUGAAGGAUAAUAUGUCUUCCCUUGCUUCAUUUCAUAGAUGCUCUGUGGCCAAUAUACAAUAUAAUAUGCAAUAAUAUAUAAUAAUAUAAUAUAUUGUAUAUACAUAAUAACAUUGAUAAUAAUAUUACAAUGUAAUACAAAAUAAUACUAACAAUAAAAUAUAAUAAUAUUAAUUAUAUAUUAUAUAUUACAUGUAAUAUUACUAAAAAUAUUACAGUAUAGUGGUAUAGUUCAAUAUAGUAAUAUAUAAUGCUAAUAUUAUGCUAUGCUAAUAAUAUAAUAUAAUUGGGCCCCUGGUGGUGGCGCAGUGUGUUAAAGUGCUGAGCUGCUGAACUUGCAGACCGAAAGGUCCCAGGUUCAAAUCCCGGGAGCGGAAUGAGCGCCUGCUGUUAGCCCCAGCUCCUGCCAACCUAGCAGUUCAAAAACAUGCCAAUGUGAGUAGAUCAAUAGGUACCGCUCCGACGGGAAGGUAAUGGCGCUCCAUGCAGUCAUGCUGGCCACAUGACCUUGGAGGCUUCUACGGACAACGCCGGCUCUUUGGCUUAGAAAUGGAGAUGAGCACCAACCCCUAGAGUCGGUCACGACUGGACUUAACGUCAGGGGAAAACAUUUACCUUAAUAGUAUUAAUAAUAUUACAGCAUAGUGGUAUAGUUCAAUAUAGUAAUAUAUAAUGUUAAUAUUAUGCUAUGCUAAUAAUAUAAUAUAUUGUAUAUACAUAUAAUUUGUAAGCCGCUCCGAGUCCCCUUCAGGGUGAAAAGGGCGGCAUAUAAAUGUAGUAAAUAAAUACAUAAUAAAUAGAGAGAACACCCGGAUUAGUAGUCAUUAUAGCAUUGGUUGUGGUAAUCUUUACUUCAUUUGAAGACAACAGACCUUUUUCACGUGGCGUAGUACAUGUGGUGAUGCAAACUCAGCUCUGUCUCCCAAUAUUUGGUGGACAUUCUACAUCCCACAGUAGCCAACAUCUGAGACAUAUCCAUAUAUCCAUCUGAGACAUAUUUGGUUGCUUUGGACUUUUAACUCCCAAAAUUCCUGACUGUUGGCCAAGCUGGCUGGGACUUUUGGGAGUUGUGUUCCGAGACCAAGGUUUGUGAACCACUGAGUUAAACACUCCUCCAGCACCUUAUUUCAAAUGAGCUGAUUUUUUUCCUGGCUUGGUUGAGAACUAUUUCAGAUUUGGACUCUCCUAGUCCAAGCCAGCCCAAUGACCAUUGUUUGACCACACAACCAACCCACACUGUUUUGUGAACUCUAGUUGGCUAUUGUAAAUUAAUGUGGAUGUUUUAGAUUGUAUGUUAUUAUCUAAUUUUGUUUGACUAUGUCUAGUUUAAUUUAUUGGUGUUAAGUUUAACUUAAGCAGAGGCUGGAUGGCCAUCUGUCGGGGAUGCUUUCAAUGUGAUUUUCCUGCUUCUUGGCAGGGGGUUGGACUGGAUGUAGUAAAAAGGAAAAAAGGAAAAGUAUGGUAUAUAUUGUACUUUAAAGUAAGUUAUAGUUCUAUAUUUCCUCAAGUGAUAUAAUCACAUAUAUUAUGACUGUAAUAUCAAUUUAUAUAUUCCAAUUGUACAGAUAAGUACAUAUUUCAAUGUCCAAUUUUAACAAAUACAAUCUUGAUAGUGUUCUCAAGGUUUGUAGUACUCUUCUUCAAAUUCGAUCAUUCAAAGUAAAUCAAAGUUCCAUGUAUUCUAAUCCUCAGAUCCUCAGAUCACGAAUUAGAAACAUUAGAACACAGAUCACGAAUUAGAAAAGGAAACACAGAAUCCACACUAUACUUACACUUUAAAGACAACACUCAUUCCUGUAACGACCUUAAGUACCUUGCCUUAGAAAAACUACAGACUCCAUUAACACUGACAUCAAGAAGUUACUCCUCUGCGGGGAGGCUUUUUGGAUCCACAAAUUGAAGACCUUAACCCCAUAAGGCCUAAAUGAUAGGCUAGAUCUCACCUGCUUCUUAUAAUGGGAUAAAAAAAUACUUAAGUCUUUACAGAACUACUGCUGAAUGCUCGCAACCUGAGGUAGAAUACUACAUGUAAGGAUCCUCCAAGGACAUAAAUAAGACAGCAGAGCAGCAAACAGAGGGAACUCCAGGAUUACCUGAAGAAGGUCUACCUGAAGAAGGUCACCGAAACUGGAUGCAUACCCGGGAGACCAGUCGUUACUAUUGACAUGGAACUUUGUUGCUAUUGAUAUGGAACUUUGAUUUACUAUUGACAUGGAACUUUGAUUUACUUUGAAUGAUUGAAUUUGAAGAAGAGUACUACAAACCUUGAGAACACUAUCAAGAUUGUAUUUGUUAAAAUUGGACAUUGAAAUAUGUACUUAUCUGUACAAUUGGAAUAUAUAAAUUGAUAUUACAGUCAUAAUAUAUGUGAUUAUAUCACUUGAGGAAAUAUAGAACUAUAACUUACUUUAAAGUACAAUAUAUACCAUACUUUUCCUUUUUUCCUUUUUACUGUAUAUAAUAGACAUCUGUGCAUAUAGUUGGUUGGACUGGAUGGCCUAUGAGGUGUAUUCCAACUCUAUGAUUCUACUGCUGUUAGGUUUUAAUUUGAUGUUAGCUUUUAAUGUUACUUUCAUAUGGGGUAUUUCUCUGGGAUUUGUUUGUUUUACGGAAGCAUUGAAUGUUUGCCGUUGUAUGUUGGAAUCCACCCUGAGUCCCCUCGGGGAGGUAAGGUGGAAUACAAAUAAAGUUUUUGUUAUUAUUAUUGAUGAAGUAAAGGGCAGUAGUAAAAGUCUUUUGCAGGAUCUGACCCGUUUUGUUGAUGAUAAAAGUAUAUUGAAGAUCUCUCAUCCACAGAGUUGUGAAAAAUUAAAGCGUGUUUGAUGGCAA